UAGGUGGCUCAAAACUCAAACUAACCUAG
rnacentral:piRNA from 1 species